rnacentral:lncRNA from 1 species
GUGCUCGGUUCGCAGUUUGCAAUGUGGAAGCUCUGUCUCUGGCCCAGCCGGAUUCCAAGCCCUGGCAGGGGACUCCGCUUGCACGUGUGCUGGCGCCAAACCUGCCAGCCGACACCUGCCGCUCUUCCCGCGUUGUUCAGACACCCGCUGCCUGUGGUUUCUCCUGGCUGACGGGGCCUCCCGGAAGGAGACCCCCUCACAGGCAUCGGUUAACUUCCAUGCUCUUUGUGGCUGUCUGGUCCCGAGGGGGGCGUGCCCACGCUGGACCUCGGUUGCUUUGACUCGCACUUCGUGAAGAAGCCACGCACCCCUCGAUGCCUGCAAAAAUACAUUUUACAUUCCUACGGCAACUCUGUUACAGUUAAUGAAACAAUAUAACUAAAAUCCAGGGUUUACCAGAGUCCACUCUUGGUGGGCUCUAAUAUUUCUGAGAAGUAUUAAGUAUCCCCCUUAUAGCAUCCUGAAGAAUAUUUUUCACUGCCUUUAAUUCUUUUGGUCUAUUACAAUAGCGCGCGCACACACACACACGCAUACUUGUAACCAAUAAA